AAACCUUACAAUCCGCCUCUUACACCUAAAAUACCCCUACAAAAAAGCUUCAGCCGGGACAACUGCAUUCACCUUUCCAUCUCCAGAAAAGAGUGCCUAAAAGAGAAACGAAGAUAGAGGGCGAGAGAGAAAGAAAAGCAGUCUGGAUAUCCUUUCUUUAACAACAAAAAGAACAACCCUAUUUACAUCUCUAAGAAAAAUAAGCGUACCGUCACCUCAAAGUUCUCCAAAAUAAAAGAUCCUCAAACAAUAACUUUGUAGCGUCCAAGAACAUGCACGCAUGGAGAUAGCAACUGGUUUCUUUAAAAAAAAAACAACAACAAAGCUGAGCUUAAAAUCGUUUUCUGCCGUGUGCUAACAAAUCGAGGUGUCGAAGUUGUUUGUGAUCGUUGUCUGAGGUUCCUGGACAGAUUCGUAGUCCAGUCGAGUUGUAUGCAAGUUUUUCGGCGUUCUAUUCUGUCCUUGCUCGCGUUAAAUAGCGGCGAUGUAAAGUUUUUUUUUUUGCAAAGGAUCAAUUUAAUGAGGAAAGUUUAUUUGAAGGUCUGCUACUUUAUCUCAUCUCUGGUUUAUUUGUCGUCCUGUAUGAAAACUCAAUUCUUUUUAAGCUCUUUUGUUCUUUAUUUUUGGUAAGAUGGUUUUGAUAGACUAUUAUUGAGUUUUAGAAUACCUUCGGCAGUAUUUGAAAAUUUUGCAAUCCAUGUCUACUUGAACUUCCCGUUGUUAGUAUGGAAUUUUCUGAUGAAUUCAUAAGUUUGGAUGCUUUUGUAUUGUGCCAUUCGGCUUUUUUGGUUGAUGAUUAGGGCUUCUUUCUGCCAGCAAGGAAAAUUAAGUGCAACGUGUUUUAAUAAAUAAGCUUUUCUUCAAG
rnacentral:lncRNA from 1 species